rnacentral:rRNA from 1 species
AGAGUUUGAUCCUGGCUCAGGGUGAACGCUGGCGGCGCGCUUAAUGCAUGCAAGUCGAGCGUGAUCGUGGCUUCGGCCACAAUGAUAAAGCGGCAGACGGCUGAGUAACGCGUGAGUAAUCUGCCCUCCGGUGGGGUAUAACCUCGGGAAACUGAGGAUAAUCCCGCAUACGACCUGCAUCCCUUGGGGUGCAGAUGAAAGGCUUCGGUCGCCGGAGGAGGAGCUCGCGUCCUAUCAGGUUGUUGGUGGGGUAAUGGCCUACCAAGCCGAUGACGGGUAGCUGGUCUGAGAGGAUGACCAGCCAGAGGGGGACUGAGAACGGCCCCCACUCCUACGGGAGGCAGCAGCAGGGAAUCUUGGGCAAUGGGCGAAAGCCUGACCCAGCGACGUCGCGUGGGGGACGAAGGCCUUCGGGUUGUAAACCCCUUUUCCGAGGGAAGAAACUGACGGUACCCCGAGAAGAAGCCCCGGCCAACUACGUGCCAGCAGCCGCGGUAAUACGUAGGGAGCGAGCGUUGUUCGGAUUUACUGGGCGUAAAGGGCAUGUAGGCGGGUAUGCAAGUCGGUUGUGAAAUCCUCUGGCUCAACCAGAGAACUGCAGCCGAAACUGCACACCUUGAGUCCAGCAGAGGGAAUCGGAAUCCCAGGUGUAGCGGUGAAAUGCGUAGAUAUCUGGGAGAACAUCAGUGGCGAAGGCGGAUUCCUGGGCUGGUACUGACGCUGAGGUGCGAAAGCUAAGGGAGCGAACAGGAUUAGAUACCCUGGUAGUCUUAGCCGUAAACGAUGGGUACUAGGUGUUGGGGGACAUUGACCCCCUCAGUGCCGUAGCUAACGCAUUAAGUACCCCGCCUGGGGAGUACGGCCGCAAGGCUGAAACUCAAAGGAAUUGACGGGGACCCGCACAAGCAGUGGAGCAUGUUGCUUAAUUCGAUGCAACGCGAAGAACCUUACCAGGGCUUGACAUCCGAGGAACUUCUUGGAAACAGGAGGGUGCCUUCGGGAACCUCGAGACAGGUGCUGCAUGGCUGUCGUCAGCUCGUG